CCUUCGAUAGCUCAGUUGGUAGAGCGGAGGACUGUAGGUUGAUAAUUACAGGCAUCCUUAGGUCGCUGGUUCAAUUCUGGCUCAAAGGA
rnacentral:tRNA from 1 species